rnacentral:tRNA from 1 species
GGGGCUGAGGCUCAGUGGUAGAGCACUUGCCUCGCAUGUGUGAGGCAUUAGGUUCAAUCCUCAGCACCA